GCCCCGCGGGCCGCGCGUCCCGGAGCGGCGACGCCAGCCUCUCACCGCGGCCCCACACCCUUAUCCGCCAGCUGCUCUGAAGCAGUGGCCUGGACGCCGCUGCUCUGGGCGCGGGGAAUGGUAAAGCUGGCGGUUUCGUCCCUAGAAAGGAACCCGGAGCUGGGGAGGGCUCCGACUUCAGCGCGAGCCCUGUGACCCGGGGUGGCUGGGCUCCUCGGGCCGCAGUUUCCCUGUGGUGGAGAUCCCAGUAUCCCCGUCGGAAGGCUGCGCCCAGCAGCGGAGGCAGUGGGUGCACGCCCUGUGCACACCGUGCCUGGGCUAUCACUGUGGCGUCGGUGUGCACACGACACAGGCGCAGGUACUGCCUAAAAGUUGUUCAGGCCACUUCUGGAGGCGCGACCAGGACCGGCCCGGAGGGUGCCGUGGCACACAUCUGUAAUCCUAUCACUCAGGAGGCAGAUGCAGGAGGAUCACAAGUUUGAGACCAGACUUCGUCUGCAUAGCAAGUCGAAUGCCUGCCUGCCUGGACCACAUAUUUCCAGAGCCAGGAUUUAAGAGAUUAGCAGUUUCCAGUGCUGGCACCUGAGAUGCUCACUCUUGGAACUCUCCAUCAUGCUCUCCGGAAGCCCAAACGGCCCUUGAAGAGGACCACAUGGAGAGGCCUGUGUCCUCCAUCCCAGCUGAAUGCUCGGCUUCAGUCAUCCCCAGAGUACAGCACUGUCUGCAGCCCCUGCGAAGGAGAAGCUGUCUGGUGCCAUUAGCGUCCCUGAAGAGCAGUGUUUUGCAUGUCUGCUCUACAUCACCGCCCUUCCUCCAAGACCCGACCCAGUGACUGAGGAUGCUGGCCUCACCGUGCCUUCCACCAUGGCCAUGCUGUGUGUGGACAAUCUGGGCUCCUCUUUCUCGGUCUCCCCCGGGGUCACUCGUGUGACUGUGGUACCCAGCUCUGGAGGGUCCGAGGUGGUGUCCUCACGUGUUCCACAGUCAGUGCUGGCUCUCUCUCUCUUCUGUGUCUUUCUUACAAAAGAAAAAGGAAUCAUAUGGUUUAUGGAAGAAAAUUUAGAAAUGCUGUCAAAACAAGGGAAAGAAAAUAGCACUCACCUAUAAUGCCAGCACCUCAGAAUAACCAUUGUUGGUAUUUAGACAUAUAUAUCUAUCCAGCCUUACUCUAAAAUAUUGGUAACAAUGUGUAGUCUACAAAAAUGCAUAUUAUUGAUUACUUCUUUUUUUUUUUUUUUUUUUUUUUGCAGAACCAGGGAUCAAACUCAGGACCUUGUGCUUGCCAGGCAGGCAUGGCACCACUGAGCUACAUCCCUGGCCCUACUUUUUUGUUUUGUGACACAGGGUCUUGCUAUGUAGUUCAGGCUAGCCUUGAACUUGCAGUACUAUGUAGUCUAGGGUGGCCUCGAACUCAUGGUGAUCCCUGCCUCAGCCUCCCAAGAGCUGGGAUUACAGCCCAGCAGCGUGAAUGUGAAGUUGGAGCCUGUCCGCCCCCAGGGAGCCAGCGUGGAAACAACAGACACCAGGGACCACAGUGAAACCGAGUUUUUGUAGAUGUGUGGCGUAUCUGCUUCCAUGCAAAAUUCUAAGUCCUACCUCCUUCUCAAUAAAUGAACACAUCCUUCCAGUGACACAGCCUUGCACUUCGAUAUUUAAUCACUAAAUGUUGCAUAUCCUAAGACAAAAAUUGGCAAAGGUAUAUGGUAAG
rnacentral:lncRNA from 1 species